rnacentral:pre_miRNA from 1 species
AGUCUUCUGUAUCCGUGCUGAGAUUGCGUCACACACCAGACCACAAGGGCUAAUGAGACUUCCAAGAUAUGUCAGGUG